rnacentral:rRNA from 1 species
AACACGUGGGUAACCUGCCCAUAAGACUGGGAUAACUUUCGGGAAACCGGGGCUAAUACCGGAUAACAUUUUGAACCGCAUGGUUCGAAAUUGAAAGGCGGCUUCGGCUGUCACUUAUGGAUGGACCCGCGUCGCAUUAGCUAGUUGGUGAGGUAACGGCUCACCAAGGCAACGAUGCGUAGCCGACCUGAGAGGGUGAUCGGCCACACUGGGACUGAGACACGGCCCAGACUCCUACGGGAGGCAGCAGUAGGGAAUCUUCCGCAAUGGACGAAAGUCUGACGGAGCAACGCCGCGUGAGUGAUGAAGGCUUUCGGGUCGUAAAACUCUGUUGUUAGGGAAGAACAAGUGCUAGUUGAAUAAGCUGGCACCUUGACGGUACCUAACCAGAAAGCCACGGCUAACUACGUGCCAGCAGCCGCGGUAAUACGUAGGUGGCAAGCGUUAUCCGGAAUUAUUGGGCGUAAAGCGCGCGCAGGUGGUUUCUUAAGUCUGAUGUGAAAGCCCACGGCUCAACCGUGGAGGGUCAUU